GUGCCAGCCGCCGCGGUAAAACGUAGGAGGCGAGCGUUAUCCGGAUUUACUGGGUGUAAAGCGCGUGCAGGCGGAUCGGAAAGUUGGAUGUGAAAGCUCCCGGCUUAACUGGGAGAGGUCGUUCAAAACUACCGGUCUUGAGUACAGUAGAGGGAAGUGGAAUUCCGGGUGUAGUGGUGAAAUGCGUAGAUAUCCGGAGGAACACCAGUGGCGAAAGCGGCUUUCUGGACUGUAACUGACGCUCAGACGCGAAAGCUAGGGUAGCAAACGGGAUUAGAGACCCCGGUAGUCCUAGCCGUAAACGAUGUAGACUUGGCGUUAGCGGGUUUAAAUCCGUUAGUGCCGAAGCAAACGCGAUAAGUCUACCACCUGGGGACUACGGCCGCAAGGUUAAAACUCAAAGGAAUUGACGG
rnacentral:rRNA from 1 species